rnacentral:rRNA from 1 species
UGGGGAAUCUUGCGCAAUGGGCGAAAGCCUGACGCAGCGACGCCGCGUGAGGGAUGACGGCCUUCGGGUUGUAAACCUCUUUCAGCCCUGACGAAGCGAAAGUGACGGUAGGGGCAGAAGAAGCACCGGCCAACUACGUGCCAGCAGCCGCGGUAAUACGUAGGGUGCAAGCGUUGUCCGGAAUUAUUGGGCGUAAAGAGCUCGUAGGUGGCCUGUCGCGUCGGCUGUGAAAACUCGGGGCUCAACUCCGAGCUUGCAGUCGAUACGGGCAGGCUAGAGUUCGGCAGGGGAGACUGGAAUUCCUGGUGUAGCGGUGAAAUGCGCAGAUAUCAGGAGGAACACCGGUGGCGAAGGCGGGUCUCUGGGCCGAUACUGACACUGAGGAGCGAAAGCGUGGGGAGCGAACA